rnacentral:lncRNA from 1 species
AGAAAGGAGGAGGGCGCUCCAGGCGAAAGCUCUGCAGACGCCAUUAUCCUCUGUUUCUUCGCUGCACCAACCUCGAAGUCUUGUCUACGUCCCGCUUAUUUGCGGCCUAGAGGCUACUGCAGCACCAUAGUGUCAGUUGGUCCCGCCCAGAACACUUCAGUUCUGCUCUGCAAGGAUAUAUAACUGAUUGGUGUGUCCAUUUAAUACAAGAAAAUGGAAACGGAACAACCGGAGGAAACCUUUCCCAACACUGAAACCAAUGGCGAAUUUGGUAAACGCCCUGCUGAAGAUAUGGAAGAAGAACAAGCUUUUAAAAGAUCUAGAAACACUGAUGAGAUGGUUGAACUGCGCAUCCUGCUUCAGAGCAAGAAUGCUGGGGCAGUGAUUGGGAAAGGAGGCAAGAAUAUUAAGGCUCUCCGUACAGACUACAAUGCCAGUGUUUCAGUCCCAGACAGCAGUGGCCCCGAGCGCAUAUUGAGUAUCAGUGCCGAUAUUGAAACAAUUGGAGAAAUUCUGAAGAAAAUCAUCCCUACCUUAGAAGAGGGCCUGCAGUUGCCAUCACCCACUGCAACCAGCCAGCUCCCGCUCGAAUCUGAUGCUGUGGAAUGCUUAAAUUACCAGCACUAUAAAGGAAGCGACUUUGACUGCGAGUUGAGAUUGUUGAUUCAUCAGAGUCUGGCAGGAGGAAUUAUUGGGGUCAAAGGUGCUAAAAUCAAAGAACUUCGGGAGAACACUCAGACAACAAUCAAGCUUUUCCAGGAAUGUUGUCCUCAGUCCACUGACAGAGUCGUUCUCAUUGGAGGAAAACCUGAUAGGGAUGUAGAGUGUAUAAAGAUCAUCCUUGAUCUCAUAUCAGAGUCGCCCAUUAAAGGACGUGCUCAGCCUUAUGAUCCCAAUUUUUAUGAUACGUAUGAUUAUGGUGGCUUUACAAUGAUGUUUGAUGAUCGCCGUGGACGUCCUGUGGGAUUUCCCAUGCGGGGAAGAGGUGGUUUUGACAGAAUGCCUCCUGGUCGAGGAGGGCGUCCCAUGCCUCCAUCUAGAAGAGAUUAUGACGAUAUGAGCCCUCGUCGAGGACCUCCUCCCCCUCCUCCUGGACGAGGUGGCCGGGGGGGUAGCAGAGCUAGGAAUCUUCCUCUUCCACCACCACCACCACCUAGAGGAGGAGAUCUAAUGGCUUAUGACAGAAGAGGAAGACCUGGAGACCGCUAUGAUGGCAUGGUUGGUUUCAGUGCUGAUGAAACCUGGGACUCUGCAAUUGAUACAUGGAGCCCAUCAGAGUGGCAGAUGGCUUAUGAACCACAGGGUGGAUCUGGAUAUGAUUAUUCCUAUGCAGGGGGUCGUGGCUCAUACGGUGAUCUUGGUGGACCUAUUAUUACUACACAAGUAACUAUUCCCAAAGAUUUGGCUGGAUCUAUUAUUGGCAAAGGUGGUCAGCGGAUUAAACAAAUCCGUCAUGAAUCAGGAGCUUCGAUCAAAAUUGAUGAGCCUUUAGAAGGGUCCGAAGAUCGGAUCAUUACCAUUACAGGAACACAGGACCAGAUACAGAAUGCACAGUAUUUGCUGCAGAACAGUGUGAAGCAGUAUUCUGGAAAGUUUUUCUAAGACUAGUGAAGAACUGAAGGAGUCCUGCAUCUUUUUUUUUUUUAUCUGCUUCUGUUUAAAAAGCCAACAUUCCUCUGCUUCAUAGGUGUUCUGCAUUUGAGGUGUAGUGAAAUCUUUGCUGUUCACCAGAUGUAAUGUUUUAGUUCUUACAAACAGGGUUGGGGGGUGGGGGAGGGCGUGCAAAAACUAACAUUGAAAUUUUGAAACAGCAGCAGAGUGAGUGAAUUUUAAUUUUUGUUCAUUGUUGGUGGUUUAAAAAAAAAAAAAGUAACAAUAGUCCAUAUGUCCCUGGCAUCUAUUCAGAGCAGUGUGCAGAAUGUAAUGCUCUUUUGUAAGAAACGUUUUAUGAUUUUUAAAAUAAAUUUAGUGAACCUAUUUUUGGUGGUCAUUUUUUAAUGGUCAUUUUUCAGAUGGCUGAAUUCCCCCCAAUUUGCCCCCAAACUAAACACUAAGUUUAAUUUUCAGUCCUCUGUUGGAUAUAAAUAAAUACAUCUCCUCUUGGACAUAUGCAAAAUAUCUUGACACAUUUAGUUCUGGUGAUCUCUUAAUGGUUUGAAAGUCCAUUGCUUGGGAGAAAAUUCCACCAUACAUUCAUGCUUAUAGUAAGCGGGGGAUUUUUGUUUGUUUUUGCAAAUGCUUGCCCCUACUUUGCAACAAUUUUGUUAGUGAUUAUGAAG